rnacentral:lncRNA from 1 species
UUGACUACAUCUGAAUUCACAGGACGCGUGAAAUCCUCCCCAUCCAUAGUUGUAAGUAUCAAAGCACCGCCUGAAAAGGCUCUCUUAACAACAUAUGAACCCUCAUAGUUUGGAGUCCACUUGCCCUUGGAAUCAGGCGCGAAAGACAAGACUUUCUUGAGCACAAGGUCGCCUUCUCGGAACACACGAGGCUUGACCUUCUUAUCAAAAGCUUUCUUCAUUCUCUGCUGAUAUAACU